CUUUCUAGUCCCAUAACCUCCCAGUUUACCGUUCGUUUCUGCCACCCAACCUGGAGACAGCAGUUGUGAAAUCUUCCCAGGCAUGUCACUUGGCGGGUCGCCAUCAGGACUACUAGGACAGACCUGACCAAAAGUCUCACUCACCAAGCUUCUCCGACCACCCCGGGGUGUCCACACUCGGUUCCUCCCAUGACAGCAGCUCCUUGUUCAGAGAGCUCUCCGUAUCACCUUGGAAAAAGAUGAAAAACGCAGUGGAAAAAUGAACAAGGGAUCCGAGUGUCAUCGUAAACACUCAAACCUGUUCAACUUCACUUAGAAUUAGAGACUUGGAAAUCCCUGCCCAUGAAGAACCCAUCUUAAUGGCAAGGAUCACAAGUUUGGCCACAUGCCUUACAAAAUGUUUCUAUGUAUUCGAGACAGAUGGGCUUCAAUCUAGAUCUCAGCAUCCUGCCUCAGCAUCCUAGGGUUCAAGGAUAAUUGUGCACCACCACGCCCUGUUUCUGUCACAAUUCUGAAAGAAGUUCUGCAAAACACAAAUGUGUGUCCCACCUCAGCUCCAAGCAACACCCGAGGCCUGGAUGGUAACACCCAUAUCACCAACCAAAGACCUGCCACUGCCAACCCAGAUGCUCUGAGGGGCCUUUGUCUGGAAGCCAUCCCCACUAGCUAUUGUAUUAGCUCAGAUUUGGAUCCCAUCAUUAAACUUUACUCUUUGACU
rnacentral:lncRNA from 1 species